UCACUUCAGCAGUGCAUAUACUAAAAUUGAAAUGAGACAGAGAAGAUGAGCCUGGCCUCUGUGCAAGGAUGACACACAAAGUCAUGAAAUGCUCUGUAUUUUU